rnacentral:lncRNA from 1 species
CACGAAGGCAAGCACGGCCGUAAACGUCGUCUUCGAAUCCUCCUCCCUCACUCAUUAGUUGUUGAAUAGUGGAAGCUGUUGCGGUCGCGUUGUCGAGAGCUUGGAGCAUUGGAGUUAGGGCAAGAAAAGAAAGAUCGGUCGGAAGAAGUGGAGGAGGAGAUAUUGGAGAGUUGUUAAGAGAGGACAUGCAGAAGUUGUAAUCGAAGAUCGUAGAUUUGGAUGCACAUGUUUUGCAGGUUUCUUCGAUCAUAUCAUCAGUUGACCUUACUUGGAAGACAAGGAGAAGUAAGAAGGAGAAGAACAAGAGAUGAGAGAGAAUAGAUGCCGAGUCCACACCGAGAGAAGUAAGAGGGAUUAUUAUUCUUCUCGUGAUUCUGAUUUCGUGGACAGAGACAGAAACAAAGAUAGGAACAGAGGAUGGGACAGGGAUAGAGACUGGGACAGAGACGAUAGGAACAGAGACAGAGGAGAUAGGGAUAGGGAUAGAGAUUGGGAUAGGGAUAGGGACGAUCGUGAUUGGUCUUAUAGAUUAAGCAGCAGAAGAUGAAUGGGUGAGGUUGUAGCUGCGUUUGUGUUGUGAUUUGUUGUAUCAUAUCGAUGAAUGUGGUAGCUUUUGUUUACUAUUCAGAUUUUGGAUUUUGUUUGGGACAAGAUAUGAUGAGACCGGUUUGGUUAUGUCUUUUCCUAUUAAACAAUUUUUUUUUCGCUGAAAGUAUUAAACAAAGUUAGAAUUAGGUUUUCUCAUUAAAUUAUUAGUGUAGAGAUUUUUAUCCUACUAAACAAACUUAAAGGAUCUUACCCUUAUAAAUUCAGAAAGCUAUGUUUAACUUCCAACCAGUGUAUAGUUAGUAUCUAGUAUGUUGCUAGAUCAUUUACUUUCAACAUGAAUUAUGAGAAUAUCCACUAGUGUAUUAAAAGGAUUAUAUCAGAAACACUAAUAAUUUGUUAAGUUGUAUGAAUUUUUUAAAAUGAAAAGUUAAUGUAACAACCAUGCAAUUUGGUGUGAGGCGAACAUCGUCGUACGUGACUAAAAUUAUUUUGAUAUAAAGCGACUUCUUAACCAAUUAUUCCCUAGUUGACAAAAAAAAAAAACAAUUAUUCCCUAUUACUUAUUUCGAUUUUAGAAAAAUAAGAUAAUGUUCUUGAUUUGAUUGACAGCUUAAAUAAAUUUUGUGGUGUUCUUAUAAGAAAUCAUUAAAAGCAUGUUCGUUUGCUGAAAAUAUGUUAUAGUAAAAAUGUGAUUUUUGAUAUUUUUGGAAUGAUUAUAAAAUAAAAUUUAAAUACAAUAUGUUUGUUUAUCUGAAAUUUUUAUUCAAUGAUUCUAUCUAAUAAAUGUAUACCCAUCAUUUGCUAUAUUUUUACCGAAUCAUCUUUAUCCAAAUGUUUUAAUUUAGUUCAGCCAAAUAAGUUCAAUUGUUUUUGCUAGAGUUUUCAAAACUUAUUUAUUAAAUAGUUUAUCUGGAUGAUGUUCAUUUCUGACAUAGAACAAAUAUCAAUACUCUGUUUUUUUUUCCGGAUAAAAUAUCUGAAUAUACAAACUUACAUGUCCAAAUUCUUGUUUAAUUAACAUACUACAUCGAAGGAAAUUAUGUCUAUCCAAUGUUUUCUAUAUGUUGAAACAAAAUUUUACGUAAAACAAUCCCUAAAAUAUUUAAUCGUAACUAGACAUUUACAAACAUACUAUUAGUACAUAUCAUUUACUUUGAAGAAAAAUAAACUGAAAAAUGCAACUAAUCACAAAGACAUGGAUGUCACAGGAGAGAUCAUGUUGAUGAUACAAAGAGCAAUCUCACCCAACUCAAACAACUUAUAAUUCCUACCGCCAAUCGGAGACGUCCACGUCAUCGCACCACCCCCACCGUCACCGCCGUCUCUCUCCAUAAAACCAGUCUCGCACGUCGUGGCGGCUUCCAUGGCGGCGCUGACCAUCAUCUUUACAGUCUCUAUCUCUCCCCUCGCAACAAAAACCCUCACGGCUUCUUCCAGUCUCUCCGCCGCGUCUUCGUAAAGCUCGAGGCAGUCACGAAGGCAAGCACGGCCGUAAACGUCGUCUUCGAAUCCUCCUCCCUCACUCAUUAGUUGUUGAAUAGUGGAAGCUGUUGCGGUCGCGUUGUCGAGAGCUUGGAGCAUUGGAGUUAGGGCAAGAAAAGAAAGAUCGGUCGGAAGAAGUGGAGGAGGAGAUAUUGGAGAGUUGUUAAGAGAGGACAUGCAGAAGUUGUAAUCGAAGAUCGUAGAUUUGGAUGCACAUGUUUUGCAGGUUUCUUCGAUCAUAUCAUCAGUUGACCUUACUUGGAAGACAAGGAGAAGUAAGAAGGAGAAGAACAAGAGAUGAGAGAGAUCCAUUUGUUUUUCUUUGUAAUUGUGAAAGAGUCUGG